CUAAAAUGGCUGCCAACAUGUACGAGUUGCGCUUGGCACCUGAUAAAAAGUUUUCAGCCCAAGCUGCCCGAGAGUGCUUGAAAGAUGUCUUGAUGACCGAGUUUGACGACAAAAUUUACGAUUCCAGUCAGAUAGCAAAGUGGACGAAAGAAACCUCGCAAAGGAUAUGCGAAAGACUACAAGAAUUGGGUUUCGAAAGAUACAAGUACGUGGUGCAAGUAGUCAUCAGCGAACAGCGCGGUGAAGGAGCAAGGAUGGCUUGCCGCUGCCUUUGGGAUUCCGACACUGACGUCUGUGUUUCAGAGUUCUAUAAUGGAGACAGCUUGUUCUGUGCUGCUGUUGUCCUUGCCUCAUAUUACUACUAGACUUGGCCAGAGGGGUGGCAUUAACCAGGUUUCAACUCAAGAUUCUCGCUGGCCUCAUGGUGUCUGAAAGGGUCUCGCCAGUUUCAAAGCUCUAGCAUACCUCACCAAGUGUAAUCCAUCUCCUGUCAUCAGUUAAGAAAAAAAAAUAAUUGCACUACAGUACGAAAACAGGAUUUGAUUUCUCACCAGGCACUACCUUACUCACCUGGUACCUACUACUAGGUGAGUGUCAGCAUGAUAGAUGAAGUACUGCUGCUUGUGAAACACUUAGUGCAUUUCAGAAAAAGUGAGGCAUGUGUCAGUGUCGAUAAUGAAGAAGCAAGAAAGAAGGGAUAAUCGUGACCAAAGGAGGAAGAAAUGGUUCUGCAUAGACAUGUUAUUGCAGUUUCUUGUGAUAGGUUUGAGGAAAAACUGAUGGCUGGAUGCUUGUUUUCUGAGCAUUUGGUUGUGCAGGUUUGCAUAUAACGGAAAUUUCAUUUUAACAAUCUCUAAGCUUGAGUGAAUAUUUGGUCUACCUUGUGUUUGUACAUCACAGAGACAAAUGCACGCAUGUUAUGUCUUGCACUUAAGCCCCACACUGACACCCUAGCCACUACUGCAGUGUGGGCUCUUGCUUGACAUGUUUACCAGCAAAGCAUACUGUCUCUGCAUAAAUGAUUCUUCAACAUUAUCACACCAGGAGGAGUAUUCUGUAAGUGUCCAGCUAGUGGACAUGUCCAUUUUGUCUGCUGCUGAAGUGCUGAUUGGCUGGGUGCACCAGUCUCCUUUUCAUGUGUACCCCAGCACAGCCAAUCAGAACUGCAGCAGCAGACAAAAUAGACCUGACCACUGGGUAGACGUUUAUACAAUACUCCUUCAGGUUGUUCACCAAACUGUGAUAUGCAGUCCAGCAGGAUCGACUGCAGUAGCCAUUGAACGACCUGUGCUUUGUUUCUUACAAUAUCGCUUUUGUGAGCAUACCAUCCAUUGUAACACGCAGUCUUCCUUUUCAUACACUUCAUCGAGCUUGUCUGUCAUAACACAUCUGUGGUCUGGGCAUAUGUGUCAAUGCAGAAGAGGAAGGUGAUGAAAGCAGUUAGAUAGUCUCUCCUAAUAAAAAAAAGACAGCAAUGAGAGUUGAUGCUAUUCAAAGUAUUCCAUGCUUACACCUACUUUUAGAUAUGAAACUGGUCUUUUUUUCUUUCAGUACAGGCUGUGUACUCUUCAGUAAAUUACAUAUGCUGGGCUAAAGAGAAGCAACCUACAAAUUUUCAUUUCUUUCUCUUAUUUAGACAUUUACAUGGGCCAACACUCAGAAUGAAUCAUAAUGUGUAAUCUGUCCAUGCAGCAGAAAUAAUUUAUGAAAGAAUUUUUUAAAAAUUGGGUUUGGGACAUCUCAAACUGUCCAACAGAUGAUAGCUGACGAUAGAAACAGACGAUUACUGUUGAGGUCAAAAGGCAGGUGAGAAAAUCGAAUGACAUGCACAAAAUUAGUUGCAGUAAUGUACAAAAAGCACAGAACUUAUGGACUGUGACUUAGAGGGCAAUGGGAAAUGCACCACCAGAUGUCACCAUGCUUGAGCUCGUUUGGUUAAAGCUACAUUUGUCACCUUGGCAUGUUGUGUUCUGGAUGAUUGUCUUCUGGAAACAUAAAUAGUAGUUAAAUAAUAAGGUAAGCUUAAAAAUAAUGCGUUUGGGAAUCCUACAUUUUGCUGCCAAAGCGCCAUUUUACUUUCAAUAAAUGUUCAU
rnacentral:misc_RNA from 1 species